rnacentral:rRNA from 1 species
GAUGAACGCUGGCGGCAUGCCUAACACAUGCAAGUCGAUCGGUAAGGCUCUUCGGAGUACACGAGAGGCGGACGGCUGAGUAACGCGUAGGAACACACCCUGCAGUGAGGGAUAAGACACCGAAAGGUGUUCUAAUACCGCAUACGGUCUUCGGAUUAAAGCAUUUAUGCGCUGAAGGAGUGGCCUGCGUCAUAUUAGAUAGUUGGUGAGGUAAUGGCUCACCAAGUCGAUGAUGUGUAGCUGGUCUGAGAGGAUGCUCAGCCAGACUGGAACUGAGACACGGUCCAGACUCCUACGGGAGGCAGCAGUGAGGAAUAUUUCACAAUGAGCGAAAGCUUGAUGGAGCAAUGCCGCGUGCAGGAUGAAGGCCCUCGGGUUGUAAACUGCUUUUAUAAGAGAAGAUUAUGACGGUAACUUAUGAAUAAGGGACGGCUAACUACGUGCCAGCAGCCGCGGUCAUACGUAGGUCCCGAGCGUUAUCCGGAGUGACUGGGCGUAAAGAGUUGCGUAGGCGGUCAAGUUAGCGAGCGAUGAAGAACUAUCGGCUCAACCGAUAGCUUGUUGUCUCGAACUGCUUGACUCGAGAGUAUCAGAGGUCGCUGGAAUUCCUAGUGUAGACAGUGAAAUGCGUAGAUAUUAGGAAGAACACCGAUGGCGUAGGCAGGCGACUGGGAUAUUUCUGACGCUAAGGCACGAAAGCGUGGGUAGCGAACCGGAUUAGAUACCCGGGUAGUCCACGCCGUAAACGAUGGAUGCUAAUUGUUUGAGGUAUCGACCCCUCGAGUAAUAAAGGCUAACGCGUUAAGCAUCCCGCCUGUGGAGUACGGCCGCAAGGCUAAAACAUAAAGGAAUUGACGGGGACCCGCACAAGCGGUGGAGGAUGUUCUUUAAUUCGACGUUAAGCGAAGAAACCCUUACCAGGGCUUGACAUCCCUAGAACUUUUUCCAAAAG